ensembl:lncRNA
GGAAAUACACAAUAUUCUGCAAUGAAUAAAUGAAUAUUUAACAAAUCUGAAUGAAGAUAAAUUGAGAAAAUUCUGUCAUAAAGACAAACAAAUACAUCUUUAUUGCAUAGGCAGCAGCUCCACAUUGCACAUGACAAGGUUUGCUUUAUGUAAUAGGGUGAGGAGGUAUUGCUAACAGUGUGGAAUACAGUGGAAUUGAGAAAACAUAUUUUUAAAUUUCCAUAAUGGAAUAAGGCAGCAUGUCUGAGGUUACUCACAUUUUAAAUUAUUAUUGCUUAAGACAUUUUUUACAUCAUUAGUUUUUAAUAUAGAUUCUGUUUCCUUCCACUUUACAACUUAACUCUGGUUUGUAGAUUGAAGAUACAACACAUGGAUGCCUGGAAUGUAGGUUCUCUUAGAGCUAACCAGAUUUUUUUACUGAAUUUUGCACACAUAUAUCUAGAAUAGUUUUCUACAUUUUUUUAUUAAAUAGCCCAUCUGUUCCAGUAUUUUUCCACGUUUAAAAAAAAAAAAAAAGGCAGAAAAAGCAGCAUAGAAAAGUCAACAUGCUAAUUUUUGUAAUAUAUCUAUCUGGGCAAAGAAAUUUUCUUUCUACUGACAUUUUCUAAAAAAAGAUAAAUGUUAUUGGAAGCUUGCAAUGAAGGUGUAACAGAAUGCAUUUCUUCCCAUCCCCUUCAGAGGCCUUUCUGGAUUCCCACUCGUUCCCAGACAAAAGUCUGUACCACUUGCAGAGGUGCUCUUGCACAAAGCUGUGGCUGCUCCAUGAGGUCACAUUUAAGAGCAUUGCUUCAGGUUUUAAGCCUUUGUAUUUUUGCAUGCUCAAAUCAGUGCAAGUAUCUAUUUUAAUAGCAUAAUAAGCAUCGGUGCCUAAAGUGACUGUAAUGAUUUUUCUUCCUCACCCCAUAUUUAAUAUGUAUCCAUCGGAGAUCAAUAAUCUGAAGAAUAUUUAGUGUAAGAUUCUACCAUGUAUGAAAGCCUCUGGAAUUCUUAGAAAGCAAGUUGUUCAAGUGGUUUCAGCAGGGUUACUAAGAGAAGUCACUCCUUUAUGUGGAAAAACAAACUCAUUUGCAAUUCACUUGCUCCAUUUAUAUUCCAGGGAAGCCAAACACUUGGAAGUAAUACAUUUCAUUGGCAUUGUAGUGAUGUAGUAUAAAAAAAAUUGGCAUAGAUUUAAACAACCAUAUCUAACGCUGGCAAUAAAGUAUUAGGAUUCCAAGCACAGGGCUCGUUUUACUUUGAGACAAGUUAAGAUUAAAUCAGGGAAUCUACCAUAUGCCUAAAUCUUCCCACAGAAGGGGGAAUGCCAUCAACUCUCAGCUGGUGUGGAGCCACAGUGAGGUGUUUGCAGCAAGUGACUUCUCUAGAUAACUAGAGCCACUUAGUCUGCUGUUUGGUAUUCCCAAACUUGAGAGAAACAUCAUCACUACAGAUGGCACCUGCAGCUGAAGAAAACCCCAUUCCACAAGUGUUGUGGAACUGAAAACAUUCUAGCAAUAUCCACUCUCAACAGGAAUAUUUUUUCUUCACAAUCUGUUCUUUAAGGAUGACAAUGAAUUAAACGAGAAAAAUAUGGGAAUUUACACCUGCUGAACUCAAUGAUUACGAGAACCAAGUAGAAAUAGUGAUGCUUGUUGCUCACAUAAGCCAAAUGCUCUUGGUAUUAAAACCUUGUCAUUAUGCAAUAAACACAUUAUGCAAGAGUUUAGUAACUAAACCCAAGAAAUUAAACUUUUCAUUUGUAGAAGUUAUAGUUAACAAUGAAAAGGGAAACUAUGAGUCCAUUAAAUAGAUCUGCAGUCAUUAUGGGUUUUUUUUUAUUAAGUUGCUGGAGUUUUUACAGUGGUAGUGGUAAAUUUCUAAAUACAUUAUACUGCUUUCCAUAUUUAUUUUUGACUUGGUUCUCAUUUCAAGUGUGUAAAGUAUGAUUUCAUUAGUCUUCACUGAUUCAUAGGAAAUGCGAUAUGGACUGUGUCUUUUUGUUAAUGAAAGAAAAAAUAAGAAUGAAGAUGUAGAUUGCAAUGAGGUUUAGAAAUAUGUUUGCUUCAUUUUAAAGUAGUUCUGAUGCAAAUUAUUAAAAGAUUGUCAAGUCUAA